AGUGAACGCUGGCGGUAGGCCUAACACAUGCAAGUCGAACGGCAGCACAGUAAGAGCUUGCUCUUACGGGUGGCGAGUGGCGGACGGGUGAGGAAUACAUCGGAAUCUACUUUUUCGUGGGGGAUAACGUAGGGAAACUUACGCUAAUACCGCAUACGACCUACGGGUGAAAGCAGGGGAUCUUCGGACCUUGCGCGAUUCAAUGAGCCGAUGUCGGAUUAGCUAGUUGGCGGGGUAAAGGCCCACCAAGGCGACGAUCCGUAGCUGGUCUGAGAGGAUGAUCAGCCACACUGGAACUGAGACACGGUCCAGACUCCUACGGGAGGCAGCAGUGGGGAAUAUUGGACAAUGGGCGCAAGCCUGAUCCAGCCAUACCGCGUGGGUGAAGAAGGCCUUCGGGCUGUAAAGCCCUUUUGUUGGGAAAGAAAAGCAGCAGGUUAAUACCCCGCUGUUCUGACGGUACCCAAAGAAUAAGCACCGGCUAACUUCGUG
rnacentral:rRNA from 1 species